CUUGGUGUCUUUAGCGCAAUAGUCCCACUCCGACUCCAUCCCGAACUCGGUUGUGAAAUGUUGCCGCGGCCACGAUACUUGGAGGGUUGCCUCCCGGCACAAUAGCUCGAUGCCAAGU
rnacentral:rRNA from 1 species